rnacentral:rRNA from 1 species
GACGAAGGAUGCAAGCGUUAUCCGGAUUCAUUGGGUUUAAAGGGAGCGUAGGUGGCCUUAUGAGUCAGUGGUGAAAUCUCUGGGCUUAACCCAGAAAUUGCCAUUGAUACUGUAGGGCUUGAGUAUAGUUGCCGUUGGCGGAAUAUGACAUGUAGUGGUGAAAUACAUAGAGAUGUCAUAGAACACCGAUUGCGAAGGCAGCUGACGAAACUAUAACUGACACUGAGGCUCGAAAGUGCGGGGAUCAAACAGG